CCUCUUUCCAAACUCGUGUGUCUUGUGUUCCACCAAGGCCACAAAUUCUGGUUUCUUGG
rnacentral:rRNA from 17 species